GGUCAGGUAGCUCAGUUGGUAGAGCAAUGGACUGAAAAUCCAUGUGUCGGCGGUUCGAUUCCGCCCCUGACCA
rnacentral:tRNA from 1 species